UGGGGAAUAUUGGCACAAUUGGGCGCAAGGCCUGAUGCCAGCAACGCCGCAGUGCAGGGAUGACGGGCCUUCGGGCUUGGUUAAAACCUCUUUUAGCAGGGAAGAAGCGAAAGUGACGGUACCUGCAGAAAAAGCGCCGGCUAACUACGUGCCAGCAGCCGCGGUAAUACGUAGGGCGCAAGCGUUAUCCGGAAUUAUUGGGCGUAAAGAGCCUCGUAGGCGGUUUGUCGCGUCUGCUGUGAAAUCCCGAGGCUCAACCUCGGGUCUGCAGUGGGUACGGGCAGACUAGAGUGCGGUAGGGGAGAUUGGAAUUCCUGGUGUAGCGGUGGAAUGCGCAGAUAUCAGGAGGAACACCGAUGGCGAAGGCAGAUCUCUGGGCCGUAACUGACGCUGAGGGGCGAAAGGGUGGGGAGCAAACAGGCUUAGAUACCCUGGUAGUCCACCCCGUAAACGUUGGGAACUAGUUGUGGGGUCCAUUCCACGGAUUCCGUGACGCAGCUAACGCAUUAAAAUUUCCCCCGCCUGGGGAGUACGGCCGCAAGGCUAAAACUCAAAUGAAUUGACGGGGUCAU
rnacentral:rRNA from 1 species